AGAAGAAAAUUGACAGAGGAAGACAAAUUAUCAUUAGACAAAUCAGAAAAUAAAUGCAAAGAGACAGAUAGCAGCAUUCUAGACUCUAAUUGCGAUGGUGAGAUUGUUUAAGUAAAAUCUCAAAUUGUGACUCUUCAGAAGAUACCUUAGAUAAGUUUUCCCAUACUCAAGAAUCGGCGAGUGAAUAAUACAUUCCUAUGGUGUAUGAAAAGGAAAUGUGUAUUCGCUUUCAGUCAUUCAGCAAGAAGAACUUCAAUAUUUUCUGACAUAAACCUGGACCAUCCAGCUUUGAUUUUUUUUUUUAAAUUUUAUUGCUGAACCAUACUCUAUGGGAUUGAUGUUAACAGUAAUUCCCACUUCAUGAAGGUCUUUGAUCCAUCUU